rnacentral:snoRNA from 1 species
UGGACCAACAAUGAGAGAAUCAUCAAUCAAGGAUUGUGAUGAAUCUAAUACUGUGCAUCUGAGGUCCAAU